rnacentral:lncRNA from 1 species
CCCUCUCAGCUGAGCCUGGUAGAUGCCAGCUGACCGGCUGCAGCCCCUGAGUAGAGGUUGGCUGUCCUAGCAAUAGAGUAGGGCGGGGGCACAGCAGACAUGGGACCAUCAUCUGGAUUCCUAGACGUGCAACUGCAAGCUUAGAAGAAAUAAAGGAAAUAUCCCAGGAGCAAAAACAAAACACACACAUGCUCCUCUCAAGAGUCACUGGCAUCCCAGCUGAAAAGUCAGCUCUACACCUAUGGGACCUAUGGGCCUGUUUCUGAGCUCUGUUUUGUCUCUUUGGUCUGAGUGUCUAUCUGAGGCCAAUACCACAGUACCAAAUGCGAUUGCUUUAGAGGAAGUCUUGAAAUCAGAUGAGCCGACUAGGAUUCCUGGCACCAUCGUGAACGGCUCUGGUGGGCACAGGCAGCCCUCUGCUGCUUCUGAUCUUAGAGAAAUGAAAAUAAAGUCAGCCUCCAUAAAAUUAUGAAGAAGAAAGGCAGUAUCAUAAUGAUUAUGCAGGAACCAAGGACUGGCCUGGAAGAUGGGCCCCCAAGCUCACAGGGACACCAGCAGGCACUGCUUCUAGACAUGGAGCCUCAGUUCCAGAAUGUCCCGUGACAUGACCAGGAGUAGGGAACCAGCCCUCCCGACCUCCAUGUCUUAUUUGCCAGGCAGGGGUAACUGCAGGCUGGCCCUGACCAGGAUGACCACUGGCUCCCACUGUGGAUGCAUUUCGUGCGUGGCCUGCAUUGGACAUCGGCUCACCCAUGUGCUGGGGUGUCCAGGGUCCAGGGGAAGCUCCAGGACACAUUUGAGGAUCAGGAGAGCAACCUGCAUAGUGCAGGACUCUUGUCAGGGAGACCACGACCCGGGAGCCUUUCCUAGAAGACACAGAGUCCCCAAAAAUACCUGUGACAAGGGUCUCAUCACAGCACUGUCUGAGAGUGCUUGGAGAGAGGGAACCUGCCUGCAGCUGUUCCCAGAGCAGUGGGGCGGGGGACACUCCCCUACUGAAGAAGGCAUUUCCUUUUGGCGCCUCCAGUUCCCCCUGCCAGGACGUCAGCACCCAGGCUCUGAUGUGGGCUGCUGGGGGCCACGGCACUGCAAUGCUGCCCUGGAUUGAAUGGGGCGGGGGCUAUAGAUGUAUAAUACAAGUUGGAUUUUAGAGACUUGGUAUGUGGCAUAGAGUCUCAAAUGUCCAAAGAUGUGUCGCAUUGAUUUCAGGGUGAGUGGAUAGUUGUUCUGAUAUACUGAGUUCAGUAAAAUACAUCGGCAGC